rnacentral:rRNA from 1 species
UGCCAGCCGCCGCGGUAAUACGGAGGGUGCAAGCGUUAAUCGGAAUUACUGGGCUUAAAGCGUACGCAGGCGGACUAGUAAGCGUCUUGUGAAAUCCCUCGGCUCAACCGGGGAACUGCAGGGCGAACUACUAGUCUUGAGUCAGGUAGGGGCCGACAGAACUAUCGGUGGAGCGGUGAAAUGCGUAGAUAUCGAUGGGAAUGCCAGUGGCGAAGGCGGUCGGCUGGGCCUGUACUGACGCUCAUGUACGAAAGCGUGGGGAGCGAACGGGAUUAGAUA